CAGAGUUUAACCACUCAAAACCAUUGUGAACCUUACCUCAACCGUUGCUUCGGCGGGCGCCCGCGGGAGGUAAACCGAACCCUAGAAUUGUAUGGCCUCUCUGAGUCUUCUGUACUGAAUAAGUCA
rnacentral:misc_RNA from 1 species